AGCGAACGCUGGCGGCAGGCCUAACACAUGCAAGUCGAACGGAUCCUUCGGGAUUAGUGGCGGACGGGUGAGUAACGCGUGGGAACAUACCUUUUGGUUCGGAACAACACAGGGAAACUUGUGCUAAUACCGGAUAAGCCCUUACGGGGAAAGAUUUAUCGCCGAAAGAUUGGCCCGCGUCUGAUUAGCUAGUUGGUGAGGUAACGGCUCACCAAGGCGACGAUCAGUAGCUGGUCUGAGAGGANGAUCAGCCACAUUGGGACUGAGACACGGCCCAAACUCCUACGGGAGGCAGCAGUGGGGAAUAUUGGACAAUGGGCGCAAGCCUGAUCCAGCCAUGCCGCGUGAGUGAUGAAGGCCCUAGGGUUGUAAAGCUCUUUUGUGCGGGAAGAUAAUGACGGUACCGCAAGAAUAAGCCCCGGCUAACUUCGUGCCAGCCGCCGCAGUAAG
rnacentral:rRNA from 1 species